rnacentral:tRNA from 1 species
CUUUUAAGGAUAAUAGUCAUCCAUUGGGUUUAGG